GUUUGACAUGUACGUGGUACGAAGGCGAAAGCCUAAGGACCCUUCGGGGAGCGUACACAGGUGCUGCAUGUCUGUCGUCAGCUCGUGCCGUGAGGUGUCGGGUUAAGUCCCGUAACGAGCGCAACCCUUGCCCUUAGGUACAAGUGUCUAAGGGGACUGCCGGCGGGAAGCCGGAGGAAGGUGGGGAUGACGUCAAGUCAGCAUGGCCCUUAUGUCCAGGGCUACACACACGCUACAAUGGUCAGUACAAAGGGUAGCGAAGUCGCGAGGCGGAGCGAAUCUCAACAAAGCUGAUCGUAGUUCGGAUUGCAGGCUGCAACCCGCCUGCAUGAAGCUGGAGUUGCUAGUAACCGCGCGUCAGCCAUAGUGCGCGUGAAUACGUACCCGGGGCUUGUACACACCGCCCGUCACGUCAUGGGAGUCGGUAACGCCUGAAGCCGGUAGUCUGGCCCGCAAGGGGGGACGCUGUCGAAGGCGGGACUGGCAACUGGGACGAAGUCG
rnacentral:rRNA from 1 species